rnacentral:rRNA from 1 species
AUACGUAGGGGGCGAGCGUUAUCCGGAUUUAUUGGGCGUAAAGCGUGUGUAGGCGGUUUGUUAAGUUUAAGAUUAAAGCCCGAGGCUUAACCUCGGUUCGUCUUAAAAACUGGCAGACUUGAGUGCAGUAGAGGCAAGUGGAAUUUCUAGUGUAGCGGUUAAAUGCGUAGAUAUAUGGAGGAACACCAGUGGCGAAGGCGGCUCUCUGGUCUGUAACUGACGCGGAGGCUCGAAAGCGUGGGGAGCAAACAGGAUUAGAUACCCUGGUAGUCCACGCCGUAAACGAUGAGUGCUAAGUGUUGGAGGGUUUCCGCCCUUCAGUGCUGCAGCUAACGCAUUAAGCACUCCGCCUGGGGAGUACGGCCGCAAGGCUGAAACUCAAAUGAAUUGACGGGG